UACGUAGGGGGCAAGCGUUGUCCGGAAUCAUUGGGCGUAAAGCGCGUGUAGGCGGCUCGAUAAGUCUGCUGUGAAAGUUCAGGGCUCAACCCUGAAAUGCCGGUGGAAACUGUCGAGCUAGAGUCCGGAAGAGGCGAGUGGAAUUCCUGGUGUAGCGGUGGAAUGCGCAGAUAUCAGGAGGAACACCAAUAGCGAAGGCAGCUCGCUGGGACGUUACUGACACUAAGGCGCGAAAGCGUGGGGAGCGAACAGG
rnacentral:rRNA from 1 species